rnacentral:rRNA from 1 species
AUUGAACGCUGGCGGCAGGCCUAACACAUGCAAGUCGAGCGGAUGAAGGGAGCUUGCUCCUGGCUUCAGCGGCGGACGGGUGAGUAAUGCCUAGGAAUCUGCCUGGUAGUGGGGGAUAACGUCCGGAAACGGGCGCUAAUACCGCAUACGUCCUGAGGGAGAAAGUGGGGGAUCUUCGGACCUCACGCUAUCAGAUGAGCCUAGGUCGGAUUAGCUAGUUGGUGGGGUAAAGGCCUACCAAGGCGACGAUCCGUAACUGGUCUGAGAGGAUGAUCAGUCACACUGGAACUGAGACACGGUCCAGACUCCUACGGGAGGCAGCAGUGGGGAAUAUUGGACAAUGGGCGAAAGCCUGAUCCAGCCAUGCCGCGUGUGUGAAGAAGGUCUUCGGAUUGUAAAGCACUUUAAGUUGGGAGGAAGGGCAGUAAGUUAAUACCUUGCUGUAUUGACGGUACCAACAGAAUAAGCACCGGCUAACUUCGUG